rnacentral:lncRNA from 1 species
CAUACUUCAUAAUCUCCAAUUACAGAUGCUAUUUUCCGACAUUUACAUGCAGAUAUUAGAACCAAAUGAAAAUGAGAAACAAAGAGAGAAUGGAAAUGCAGCUAUUUAUAUGUAUAAAAAACAAACAGGUACAAAAUGUGAGAUUCAUGAAAUUAGCAAAUCACUGCAGAACAGGAAGUUAUUAUCAAUAAUUAAAAGCAAAGGCUCUGAAGUCAAGUUAACCCUGAUAAAAACGCAAAUACACAGAAAUACUGUUGUCAUUGUGCUAGGUUUUUUUGCUACUGCCUACAUUAGCUAAAUUUGGGCUUAGACAUAAUAGCUAAAACCAAAGCCUGGGGUCUACUUCCUUCUGUUUCUGAUGUCUCUAAAAGCCAGAAGGUUACCUUUGAUAAGGAACACAGUGAUUGAACCAAGCGG